rnacentral:rRNA from 1 species
AAGUCGAGGGGCAGCAUUUUAGUUUGCUUGCAAACUGAAGAUGGCGACCGGCGCACGGGUGAGUAACACGUAUCCCACCUGCCGAUAACUCCGGGAUAGCCUUUCGAAAGAAAGAUUAAUACCGGAUAGCAUACGAAUAUCGCAUGAUAUUUUUAUUAAAGAAUUUCGGUUAUCGAUGGGGAUGCGUUCCAUUAGUUUGUUGGCGGGGUAACGGCCCACCAAGACUACGAUGGAUAGGGGUUCUGAGAGGAAGGUCCCCCACAUUGGAACUGACACACGGUCCAAACUCCUACGGGAGGCAGCAGUGAGGAAUAUUGGUCAAUGGGCGCGAGCCUGAACCAGCCAAGUAGCGUGAAGGAUGAAGGCUCUAUGGGUCGUAAACUUCUUUUAUAUGGGAAUAAAGUUUUCCACGUGUGGAAUUUUGUAUGUACCAUAUGAAUAAGGGUCGGCUAACUCCGUGCCAGCAGCCGCGGUAAUACGGAGGAUCCGAGCGUUAUCCGGAUUUAUUGGGUUUAAAGGGAGCGUAAGCGGAUUGUUAAGUCAGUUGUGAAAGUUUGCGGCUCAACCGUAAAAUUGCAGUUGAAACUGGCAGUCUUGAGUACAGUAGAGGUGGGCGGAAUUCGUGGUGUAGCGGUGAAAUGCUUAGAUAUCACGAAGAACUCCGAUUGCGAAGGCAGCUCACUAGACUGUCACUGACACUGAUGCUCGAAAGUGUGGGUAUCAAACAGGAUUAGAUACCCUGGUAGUCCACACAGUAAACGAUGAAUACUCGCUGUUUGCGAUAUACAGUAAGCGGCCAAGCGAAAGCAUUAAGUAUUCCACCUGGGGAGUACGCCGGCAACGGUGAAACUCAAAGGAAUUGACGGGGGCCCGCACAAGCGGAGGAACAUGUGGUUUAAUUCGAUGAUACGCGAGGAACCUUACCCGGGCUUAAAUUGCAACAGAAUAUAUUGGAAACAGUAUAGCCGUAAGGCUGUUGUGAAGGUGCUGCAUGGUUGUCGUCAGCUCGUGCCGUGAGGUGUCGGCUUAAGUGCCAUAACGAGCGCAACCCUUAUCUUUAGUUACUAACAGGUCAUGCUGAGGACUCUAGAGAGACUGCCGUCGUAAGAUGUGAGGAAGGUGGGGAUGACGUCAAAUCAGCACGGCCCUUACGUCCGGGGCUACACACGUGUUACAAUGGGGGGUACAGAAGGCGGCUACCUGGUGACAGGAUGCUAAUCCCAAAAACCUCUCUCAGUUCGGAUCGAAGUCUGCAACCCGACUUCGUGAAGCUGGAUUCGCUAGUAAUCGCGCAUCAGCCAUGGCGCGGUGAAUACGUUCCCGGGCCUUGUACACACCGCCCGUCAAGCCAUGAAAGCCGGGGGUACCUGAAGUACGUAACCGCAAGGAGCGUCCUAGGGUAAGACUGGUAAUUGGGGCUAAGUCAUAA